rnacentral:rRNA from 1 species
AUGGGUUGUCCUGAUGGAACAGUGAAGAUCGGCGACUAUAUGGUCUGGCGACAUUAUUGCAUCAAUGGAAAAAGCAAAGUGUCAAAGCCUCUUCUGUCAAUCCAGCAGCACACCGCUGCCCUUCGCAUCCUCCCUGCAUCACUGCAACUGGGCCGUGCUCACAUCGUCUGCGGUCACAUGCGCAAUCUCUGCGCUCGACGCUGCCUCCACCGAGAUUCAUUGCAAGGGUGCCUGAAACGCCCACUGCUGGGUACAUGCAUACAACAAUUAUGCCAUGUCUUCCCUAUUCGAUCGGUCGCACAUGUAUGUUUCUUUUCCUUCUUUGUUUAG